UUUGGUGUCCAUUUAUUAUAUUCAUCCUUUGGAUUAUAUCUUAUAAACUUAUUUUUGUAAUUAUAGGUUGGUGUUUUUAUUUCUGAUGUACUAGGUAUUAUAUUUUUAUCUAGAGUAUUUACUUUUGUAUUUAUUAGUUCUAAAUUUUCUUUAUUAAUUACUUCUUGUUUUUCAUUAAUUUCUAGUUUUCCUAUGUUUUCUAGAAUUUCU
rnacentral:lncRNA from 1 species